UCCCUGGCCGGGCCACCUCAAGGAACGCCGCCUUCGGCUCACCGCAGCUUUCCGGAGAGGAAAGCAGGCGGUCAUCCAGAUUCGGUGCUAAACCGGUUUCUUGAAUAGAAGUUUUUCAACAGGUUUCUGGAGGUGUCAUACCUGCAGAGCAAACGGCAGCCUUUCCAGGAAAGCAUUCCCUUCUUAGGUCCCGGAGCUUCCUUGCUAUCCCCGCGACGAGACGAUGAGGAGGGUACCGGGGUUACUCCCCGCCCGUGUCGGCCCCUGCGAUGCUGUGAUUUGGGGCGCUCCCGUCUUCUGCUGGUGGAACCCACUGCCGAUCACGCGUGUUCGCUCCCCCCCCAAGCAGCAAGCCCCUCAUAAAAAGAAAUUGAUCUGGGGGAUAUAUUUGAAUUAAGACAUAUUAAAUCGAUGACAGAUACGAAUCACGCUGCGUUCAGCAAGAGCGGGACGAGGAGGCGUGCGCAAGGUACCGCGGAGCCGCGACACUGUUCUUCAGUAUCUCCGAUCAAAUCAUUACAUCUUGGGACCUCGGUCCAGCGACUUGUCUAAAAUUUGGGAAGGGGGAGAGGGCACUGGUCAGAUGAAUGUGUAGAAAAUAUACGUAUAUAAAUACCCGUA